CAGGAUGUGUGGAAAUACUUAUCUACAAGGAUGUUCAUCCCAGUGUUAUUUAUAAUGGCAAAAAAAGAAGGUCUAAGAUUGUAGCUAAGAUAUUGCUACCCAGAGAGAUUUUGGAAGACAAGUGUUGAAAAAGCUGCCAUCAGCCUGAGUCCAGGAUGACUGUGCACAGAAGGGUUGCCCAUCAACUUAGAACAUUCACUUCAAAUUGUCACGUGCGUGAGACAUACACUUUUUAUUCUGCAAGCUGUCUGGAAACGUCAUUUGUUACAGUGACUCAGUAUAUCCUUCACUAAUAAAACAUCUCAUGCAGAAGGGUUGCAAGGAUUAAAUGAAAUUCCAAUGGCUAAAGUUUGUGCACAGCUAACUCUGGGCCAGGGUCUUGCUAAAAGCUU
rnacentral:lncRNA from 10 species